GAUGCUUAAUAUUCUGUUAUUCGUUUAAUAAUCUGUGUUUUUUGGGUUCAGAAAGUAGCAACAGGUCUAUUCUUGAGAGGUCUUAUUUGAGCAUCAAUACCAUCAGUUACUUAAUAUUGUUGUUAGUAUGUAUUAUGUGUCCAAAUUUGAAUGUCGUAUAAUUAUAUAUUAAAGAUCUAAAGCGGGGACACAGCUUCAGGUAUGUUAUUAUCGCUUUCCAUUUCUCUGAAGUGUAAAUAGGUUAUUAGGUUUUCUUCUAAUUGGUGAAACUAGAAAUGGGUCAACUUAGCUUAUGUACUUAUCUCAACAUAAUAAACUUCUCUUAUAAUUUAAGAGUUGUUUGUUGUUCCCGAAGGGGUCAACUUAGCUUAUGUACUUAUCUCAACAUAAUAACCUUCGGUUAUAAUUUAAGAACUGUUUGUUGUUCCCGAAGGUUAUUAUGGUUGUGGUAAAGGGAGUUUCUUAGCAUGUCAUAAACGAGGACGACAAGUGUGAUGUUUUUCACUUGCAACCCGUGUUACAGCCAAAACGGUCCAAUAGCCAAAUCCGAGCCGAAUCGUUUUCCUUUUGAGAACCCUAAUCUACCGCCACCAUAGCAUCAUCAACGUGGUAUUCUCCAUUGUUCAUCGAUCCAGAAUUCACCAUCAAUGGGUAUGUAUGAACUCUUUUAUUUUUUGUUUUUUGAUUGUUACAGUUUUGCAGGUGAUAAAGGAAUUCUUUUUUAUUUUGGCGCAAUCUCAUCUGGGAGGAUUUUUUUUGUUUCCUCGAUUAUACGAGAUAGUUUUUUGUGCCCGGUGAUCCGUGAUAAAUUCAAGAUGAGCAGUGGUGGUGCUAUCAGAUGGUCAUGAUGAGUCUACGGGUAGUUGUUUGAUUAGGCACCAGAUGGGUCGACGGUAUUAGGUUCUGGUGACACAGGUAUGGUUACAAUUCAGCGGUGGGUGAUGGUGUUCUAUGACGAACAAUAAACAACAGUAGGGUGUGGUUCCGGCGAGUCGAACUUGACACGGAUGGCUAUGAAUUCCGAUAACGAAACAAUAAACAGCAGUGGGUUGGGGUCAGAAGGAAAGGAUUGACCAAUGUAAUUGUUAUUGAUGGAAGCUUACUUGCCCUUUGUUUGUGCACACUACUCUUCACACAGGCCUGGAUAAGUAGCUGAAUCGACUUUGGUUUCUGUUAUGUGGGCCUGGAAGUCUCAUUCCAUGGAGGCAGGGGCUGAAUCUAAGCUUAUAUAACUGAUGUUGUGAAACAUGGUUGGCAUGCUCAGGUACUUGGUGAUCCCCCACCCAAAUAGAUGAAGAACAUGCCCAGACAAGAAUAUGUAGCUCACUUGAGAUGGUAAUUUGGUGCUACUGAUGUGAAACUUUUUGGUGAACCAAAACAACCCUUUUUUCUGCACCCUUUCUCAAUGGACAAAAGGCAGUUUUAGUUCUGUUUACAAGGGGAUGAUCCAUGAGCGAUCACUUGCAGCUGCCAAGACUCGCACAACUGUCGCUGUGGUUAACCAACAUCUUCAAAGUCCCCGGAAGAGUGGUUGGCUACAGUUAACUAUCUAGGGCUGAUUGAUCAUCCAAAUUUUAUAAAGCUUAUUGGUUACUGCACAGACGAUGACCACAAACUUCUUGUAUACAAGUACAUGGAACGAGGCAGCCUAGACAACUAUCUUUUCAGAAGCCGUUUUUACACUGGACCUCUCGCAUGGAACCUACGAAUUAAAACACGAUUUCAAUUCCACCAGCAUCUUGAUUGAUUCGAAUCACAAUGCGAGAAUUUCCAAUUUUGGGAUGGUGAAGGACGGGCCAGUAGAUUCUUCUGGACAAGUUAUAUAUACAAAAGGAUACACGGAUCCUGAAUAUAUUAAACAGGUCACUUCACCAAAAGCAGCAACAUAUACAGUUUCUGUGUGGUGCUUCUGGAACUCUUGACGGGGCAGAGGUGCAUUGACAAGAACGGUUCGGUGGCCAACCCGUGCCGUGAUGGACUAUUGACUUAACGAUGGUGUAAUGGAAAUCGUGCCCUGUUUCCGGUGCCGACGCUAUCUUCUUCACAGAGCGUUCUCAGUUCGUUUUCCUAACAUAUAUAUUAGAGGUGGUUUCUCAGAGGUUUUUACGACGGUCAUCUUUAUAUGGUUCAGAUAAUCAUUAUUAGAGAACAUGAAAGAUAAGUGGAAUUAAGGGAAAACAGGUGGACAUAUGUUUCUUAGAAUUGCUUCUCGUUUUGUUAUUCCUAUUUUUUCCAGUAUAUGUGAGUUGGGUAUGAGUAGCUAUGCUCUGUUUCACUUUUAUCUUCAAAGAAUGCACCUCCUGGACUCCAACCCUAUAUCGAUCUUUUAUUAAUGAAAUCCUUCUCACUCCCAAAUCAGCCUGCGCAUGUACCUUUUUUGACCUCCUAGAUUCCCAACUGGCUCUCUGUCUGCAAAGACAUUGGAGCCCUAAUCUAACAAAAUUGGUUUGCCCACUUUCAACGGGUACUCGAGUUUUGCUGGAAUCAGAGUGGAAGCAGCUAGAAUCCAAUCUUUUUUGAGCUGAUGGGAAUCUUUUAGGAAGUCGCUUGGAAUUUAGAGAAACAAGUGUUGCAUGGUGAACAUUUUUCUUGAAUGGUUAAAUUAAUAUAAAUGAAUCUGUUAUACUAUUCACAACGAAGAAUUUGGCCACUUGAAUGAUGAAUCCAUAACACUUGAAUAACAAUGAGGUUCGGGUUGAAGGUGAUUACGUGCAUCUGUUUAGCUAUCCGAUGAAAAGUUAACGAAUGUUUAUUUAGUUUGUUCAUGUUUCCUAAAACACAAGUUAUAUGCCACUAAAUGAAGUUACAUUUUUUUUGUUUAUUUUUAUUUAUUUUAUAGAGAAAAGGGCUGCAGCAUUGUUGGUAUGUAAAAGAAAAGUUGGCUAGGCUUCAAAGUCAAAGGCCCAUCUUCUUUAAUCACAUGAAUAUAUCUUUUAAUCAUCAAAUUGUUUUUUUAUUACUUAAGGUUGUUGUAAUGGAAUUUAAAUGUAUUGUAUGUUAUAAGGUAAUUGAAUUGUUUGUUUUACAUUUGUGAUUGAA